CCUACGGGGGGCUGCAGUGGGGAAUAUUGCACAAUGGGCGCAAGCCUGAUGCAGCCAUGCCGCGUGUGUGAAGAAGGCCUUCGGGUUGUAAAGCACUUUCAGCGGGGAGGAAGGCGGUGAGGUUAAUAACCUCAUCGAUUGACGUUACCCGCAGAAGAAGCACCGGCUAACUCCGUGCCAGCAGCCGCGGUAAUACGGAGGGUGCAAGCGUUAAUCGGAAUUACUGGGCGUAAAGCGCACGCAGGCGGUCUGUCAAGUCGGAUGUGAAAUCCCCGGGCUCAACCUGGGAACUGCAUUCGAAACUGGCAGGCUAGAUUCUUGUAGAGGGGGGUAGAAUUCCAGGUGUAGCGGUGAAAUGCGUAGAGAUCUGGAGGAAUACCGGUGGCGAAGGCGGCCCCCUGGACAAAGACUGACGCUCAGGUGCGAAAGCGUGGGGAGCAAACAGGAUUAGAUACCCGAGUAGUC
rnacentral:rRNA from 1 species